rnacentral:misc_RNA from 1 species
GAUGAAGAACGCAGUGAAAUGCGAUAAGUAAUGUGAAUUGCAGAAUUCAGUGAAUCAUCGAAUCUUUGAACGCACAUUGCGCCCGCCAGUAUUCUGGCGGGCAUGCUUGUUCGAGCGUCAUUUCAACCAUCAAGCCCCAGGCUUGUGUUGGGGACCUGCGGCUGCCGCAGGCCCUGAAAACCAGUGGCGGGCUCGCUGUCACACCGGGCGUAGUAGAUUUUAUCUCGCUCAGGGCGUGCUGCGGGUUCCGGCCGUUAAAAAGCCUUUUUUACCCAAGGUUGACCUCGGAUCAGGUAGGAAGACCCGCUGAACUUAAGCAUAUCAAUAAGCGGAGGA